ensembl:lncRNA
AGCCCUUUGGAUAGACCACAGCAUUUAAAGACAAGUGUGUAUGGCAGCUGUUCUUAAGUGUGUUUUUUGAGAAAUGUACCCAGCACAUGCUUGCAGAGAAGUAGUGUUUUCAUAUUUAUUGCAAAAUCUAAACAGCACAAUAUUUUUUUGGGAUGUUUACAUUUUUCUUUAUAUUUUUUGGGGGGGAGAAAAAAAAAAAAAAAAAAAAGGGGGGCUAAUUUAAUUUAAUUUUUUACACUAGUUCAGCAUUUACAAAUUUAUUUUUCUAAUUUCAUAUUUUUUUUUUUGGGGGGGGAGCAUCAAACUUUGCGUGGUGUUGAAGCACGAAUAGGUGGAUGAGUUGUAGUUGCCACAGUCCUGUUCUAUUUAGAUCCCUUGGUUGAUGAUGACUUCCUAGGCUAAGCCCGGGGUGGUCCAACCCAUUAUCUGUGAAGCCACCAUUUUUAGAAGCUCCGAUAUCCCCGGAACUGUGUGGCUCAUUAAUUUAGUGCAGAUCUUUCAUACUUAAUUACUUCCACAAAUUGGAAAGACAAACAAUUUAUUUAUUUUCUCUUUACCAUGGUGGUGAAGAAAUUGGCUCUUCAUUGUGUACUGAUCUCAUUGUGGAUUUAUUUUCAAAUUUUGCUUUGUGGUCGAACGUUGUUGAAGAAAAUUUGGGUUGAUCUAAAGUGACCGGUAGACUUGUAGGAGAUGCUUCGCAAUGUAUGUUUGCUUCAUCAUCAGAACCCCUGUAGAUUACAACAGUUCAUCAUUUAUUAGAAGAGAUUAGCCAUCAAAUGCGCCGUCUAAUAUUGAUGGCAUUCAUGUAAAAUGAUGGAUUUCAGAGCUCCACAUUUCAUAAAUAUCUGUUUGCCUGUGUCAACGUGUUGAAUCACACCAUGACUGACGCCACAUGUCCCUCUGUCUCCCUCCGGUGUCUGUUUUGUGUAAUGUCCCUUGAGCGCUGGUGCCACAGCAGUAGAUGGACUAGGUACAUAUGAACCCAAGAGGUUGGUUGAUGGUAUCAACCGACACAACUCCAGUCUCUUAAAGGGCCCCUAUUCUACCACCGAGGGUAAUGAUGAUUAGUCAUUUAAACAACAACCCUAUACCCAACAGCCGACCCAGUGAAUAUUAUCUAACUAGCUAGGUAGAGGCCGAGCUAGCCAUCGCACAUCUGUGUGGACACGUCCAUUUAUGAUGUCACUAAUGGGUUGAUUUUGUAACUGCUUAGUUGCUAAUCAGUAUUACAGGGGCCCUUUGAAGCUGUUGUAACACUGUCUAAGCAGUGUUCUAUAGAGUACUGGCUAGCAUUUUGUACGUACCUAAUCCAUUCUGUGACUUGUUGCCAAACGGAAGCCUCACACACCUUUUUUUUACAGGUGUGCAAUUGGCUACCCAUUAGCCACCAUUAGCCCAACAAUAUUAUCAAGUGUUCUUUUACACUCUUUUAACUUGUGUCACACCGGUCCAAAUGAUUCUGUUUCUCUAUUAAUAUGCACUGGUAAUAAAAGCACAUGGUUUACGGAGAUGUGGAGUGAUGUUUAUUACGAAACGUUAAACUGUUAUCUAAUAAUAUUAAAGUUAGUUACUGAUAUUGAUAGGCAAAGAUGUUGUAGAAUGGUGCCCUCAAAUUGCUUGUUUUAUUGCUUUUAUAGUCCUAUUUGCUAUGAGCAGGGCCAGUACAUGGCAGUAGGCAUUCAAUAAUGUUG